rnacentral:tRNA from 1 species
CAGAGAUUAGUUUAAAGAAAAUAUUAAUUUUGGAGAUUAAGGAUAGAAGUUUAUUCUAUCUCUGA